GCCUGCCCAGUGACCAUGUGUUCAACGGCCGCGGUAUUCUGACCGCGCGAAGGUAGCGUAAUCACUUGUUUUUUAAAUAAAGACUAGUAUGAAUGGCCCCACGAGGACUUAACUGUCUCCCUUGUCCAAUCAGUGAAACUGAUCUCCUCGUGCAGAAGCGAGGAUUCUCUCAUAAGACGAGAAGACCCUAUGGAGCUUUAAACUAAAAUCAACUAUUACCCACCUAUCCUCUAAGGGCCUAAUAAAUAGCUAAAUAUGCUUGAUUUAAGUUUUAGGUUGGGGCGACCAUGGAGAAAAAGAAAUCCUCCCUGAUGACCACAAACCAAGAGUCACUACUCUAAGUAUUAAGACGCUUAACUCUAAUUGACCCAUUUUAUGAUCAACGAACCAAGUUACCCUAGGGAUAACAGCGCAAUCCAUUUCAAGAGUCCCUAUCGACAAGUGGGUUUACGACCUCGAUGUUGGAUCAGGGCAUCCAAGUGGUGCAACCGCUACUAAUGGUUCGUUUGUUCAACGAUUAAAGCCCU
rnacentral:rRNA from 1 species